CAGCGCCAUAAUGCAUCAGUGUCUGUACAGCGCCAUAAUGCAUCAGUGUCUGUACAGCGCCAUAAUGCAUCAGUGUCUGUACAGCGCCAUAAUGCAUCAGUGUCUGUACAGCGCCAUAAUGCAUCAGUGUCUGUACAGCGCCAUAAUGCUUCAGUUGGUUCAACAAUUCUAGAUGGUCAAUUCAUUAUGGAGUGAAACAGUGCAGUUCCAACUGAAGACUGCCUCUUGAGUGUGUUUAACCUGUUGUUUUAGCCAGCUAUAUAGCCAGCUAUAACGACAUAUUUAGGGUCAGGAAACUGGAUUUAAAACGACACUCACUGUCAGAAAAUGUAAUUUAGGGUCAUCUGGGUGUCUUUCUGAACUGGUUUGAAUCCAGUUGUAGACUUCUGAAUUUGAAACCAUAAGUCAAAUUUUAAGGCCUCAUAAGUAUUUUUUUAAAUGGUUUGCUGGUACCAGAUCACUUCCAUGAUUAUACUGUGAUAAUCUGACAUAUAGUGAAGUGACUGAAGUGUUAUGGUUCAAUACCACAGGAAGUUGGUGGCACUUUAAUUGGGGAGAACAGCCAUUAUUAUGAGUCGUCCUCCCCUCAGCAGCCUCCUGUGUUCAACACACAGUUGCAUGUCUCACAGUUUUUGGAUACUUUGCCAUCAGCCCCUUUGGACUAGACCAGAACCUACCAAAAACAAGAUUAAUAACGUUUUCUUCAUUUUGAGUAGAGUUGCUCGGAACAACUGCAGUUCCUAUUCAAGACUGUGUGAAACAAAUACGUUUACUUAGCCUAGUACUGAAGGAGAGUGAAACCUUUUUUUCUCGUGUCUCGCUCUCCCUAUCUUUUUAUUGUUCUCUGUACUCGAAGGUCAACCCCCUUUUCGCAUGUUUGUACAAGGGGAAAUGUACAUAAAGAUAUUGAUGAUAAGGCAAAUCUACAUGUAGUAGCUUUUUUCAUAAAAGUUUGUAUUACCAAAUUUGCUCUAACUAAUAAAUAUUCCUUCAUGUGUUUUUGUAGUUGUCAGUGUUAUUGCAUCACUGAAUACACACGGAUAGGUCAGGAUGUCAGGAUUUAUUUAGGUGGGCAUAACGUCACUUCAAUGUACAGAUGGCUAUGUAUUGCACUGAGCAGGUAUAGUUCUGUCAGCUCCUAACAUUACAUUUCUCUCUGCAGUGUUCUUAAAGGUCCAAUACAGCUG
rnacentral:lncRNA from 1 species